ACCCCUGCCCCGACCCCCGGGCCCCUCGGAGCGUCGGACCGGAAGCGUCCCACACGACGCCAAGCAGCGGCGGCGGCGGCGGCGGCAGUUCCAACUACUUACAAGCAACAAACACUUCUCCCUUCCUUCCCCCGCACUCCACCUCCACUUCCCCGGCGUCGCCAUGGACGCCGACCUCGUGCAGCGCUGCCUCGAGGCCGGCGGCCGUGACCUCCUCCACCCCUCCUCUCCUCCCUCCCCCACCUCCGCAUCCGCCGCCGCCGCCUCCUCCACCUCGUCCAUCCUCCAGUCCCUCCCCCUCCACGUGUCCUUCGACCGCGGCUUCUACCUCCUCGUCAAGGCGAUCCAGGAGCUGCGCGAGCGCAAGGACGGCCUCGUCGUCACCGUCGGCAUCGGCGGACCCACCGGCUCCGGCAAGACCAGCUUGGCGGAGAAGGUAGCGUCGGUUCUGGGGUGCGUCGUGAUCGUCUCCAUGGAGGACUACCGGACGGGGGCCGGGGCCGACGACGGCAGCGACGUCGACGCCAUCGACUUCGACGCCCUCGCGCGCAACCUCCAGGAUCUUGUAAAGGGUAAAGAUACAAUGAUGCCACUGGUUGAUUUUCAAGAGAAGAAACGCACAGGAUGGAGGCAACUGAAGAUUUCUACAUCUGGAGUGGUGAUUGUCGAUGGUGCUUAUGCUCUGCAUUCAACACUAAGAUCAUUGCUUGAUAUCCGGGUUGCUGUGGUUGGUGGUGUUCAUUUUAGCCUGCUUUCUAAAGUUCAGCAUGAUAUUGGAGAUUCUUGCUCAUUGGACUAUCUGAUCGACAGCAUAUUUCCAUUGUUUAGAAAGCACAUUGAGCCAGACCUGCAUCAUGCACAAAUUAGGAUUGAUAACAGCUUUGUCUGCUCAUUCCGCGAACCUUACUACAAGCUUAAGUGCAAAAAUGAGUCACCGGAUGGCCGGAAGUUCUAUUCUUUUGAUCAAAAUAAAGCAGAAACUGAAAACUUUAUUGAGAUGUACCUUAGGCCACCUUUUGCUUCGGAAGAAAUGAAAAUUGAUGAUUGGAUUAAAGUUAGACAGUGUGGAAUAAGAUACUACCUAUCUCUUGGGGACCAGAGGAUUGUUGAUAAGUAUUUCAUAAUCCGUCCAAAAGCUGAGUUUGAGGUUGGACGGACAACUCUUGGAGGAUUGUUGGCCUUGGGAUACAGUGUUGUUGUUAGCUUUAAACGUACAUGCACAUCUGUCAAUAGAGAUCAAUUACUGAUAGCAGCAGAGACUAUUGACACCCUAAACGAGACCUUUUUGGUGUUAAAGGGCCCAAGUAGGAAGAUUGUUGCAGCAGAAGCUUCUAAGCUUGGUAUAAAGGGACCAUGGAUCACAAAGUCAUACUUGGAAAUGAUCUUGGAGAGCAAAGGGGUUCCACGACUUAAUACACCACCACCAGUUUCUAGGACACUGUUAACUGAAAGUCAAGAAAAGAAAAUUGCUGCACCUAAACCAGUUCGUGUUUCCAAUGAUAACAUAGCAAAUCUUGAUGACUUGGUGCAACCGUGGACGAGGUCUCCUCCCAAAAAGUUGGAGCAGGAACAUGUUCUGGCAAAAUGGCAGUUUAUCCCAGAUUCUUCUUCAAGAAAUAACAUCCAGCUAGCUCCCCUGCCAGAUUCUUAUGACUUGGAUAGGGGUCUUCUCCUAUCAAUUCAAGCGAUCCAGGCGUUGCUGGAGAACAAAGGAUUUCCUGUCAUUGUUGGGAUUGGUGGUCCUAGCGGAUCAGGAAAGACAAGUUUAGCUCAGAAGAUGGCAGAUAUAAUUGGCUGUGAAGUUGUAAGCUUGGAAAGUUAUUACAAACCUGAGCAAGUGAGAGAUUAUAAGUAUGAUGAUUAUAGCUCAUUGGAUAUCGCUUUGCUGACUAAGAACAUUAUGGAGAUCAGAAAUAGUCAUAAGGCGAAAGUUCCUUGCUUCGACUUUGAAAAUUUCAGCAGAGAUGGGUUCAAGGAGGUUCAAGUCUCCGAGGAAAGUGGAGUGGUAAUUUUUGAAGGUGUCUAUACUUUACAUCCUGCUAUAAGGAAAUUGCUGGAUUUGUGGAUUGCAGUGGUUGGUGGAGUUCAUUCGCAUCUUAUCGCAAGAAUACAAAGAGACAAGAAUCGUGCUGGCUUUUCUAUUUCCGAGACUGAAAUCAUGACCACUGUGUUUCCGCUCUUUCAGCAAUACAUUGAACCACAUCUUGUCCAUGCUCAUCUUAAGAUUCAAAAUGAUUUUGAUCCUGUGCUCUCUCCUGAAAGCUCACUUUUUGUGUUAAAAAGUAAAAAACAGGUGUCCUACCAAGACAUACUGAAGGUACUGGAUGCUACUAAAGUCUGCAGUUCUGUGCAGAACUUUACUGAUGUUUAUCUAAGGCUUCCUGGCGUACCAUCAAAUGGACAGUUGACAGAAAGCGAGUGUAUCCGGGUCAGAAUUUGUGAAGGAAGAUUUGCAUUGUUAAUACGAGAGCCUAUUAGGGAGGGAAAUUUUAUUAUCCAGCCAAAGGUUGAUUUUGAUAUUAGUGCCAGCACUGUUGCAGGGCUUCUUAAGCUUGGUUACCAAGCUGUUGCAUAUAUUGAAGCUUCUGCAGUGAUUUACCAAGAUGGAAAGAUUCUAAUAGAAGUUGACCAUCUACAAGGCGUGGCGACUCCAUAUCUUCAAAUUAAAGGAACAAAUAAGGAAAUAGUUUCAUCUGCUGCUUCUGCACUCAGCUUGAAUGGUUCAUACACAACAAAGAGCUAUCUUCAAAUUAUUCUGGAGAGUUUACCAGCUGAUGAUAAUGUUUCUGCUGGUAUUCACAAUCAACAAGCUGCGAGGCUGCAGGAACUGGUUGAGUUCAUCCAGUCACAGGGAGGGAACUUCAAUUCAGAUUCAUCUUCACCGAUGCGAGAAAUUUCUUCUACAGAUAGCAUGCUUGAUGAUAUGCAAUCCAGGAUAAGGAAGCUUGAGAGAUGGAAUACAAUAAAUAUGGUUUUGUGGACUAUAUUACUGUCUGCUCUUGUUGGAUAUUCGCUAUACCAAAAAAGGCGGCACUAAGUAAUACCGCUAACCUCAACUGAACAAGUAUGGACAGAUUAAUUAUGCUUUGAGCAGUGAUCUUAAGGGCUUUUUUCCAAUGCGGAGGUGAUGUUUCAGUGCUGAUGAUAUGAUUCCUCUGCCAGUUUGACUGAUAGGUUGGACGUACAUCAUUCAUGGUGUUGGCAGAAUUGACAAAUUCAUGCACACCACAGGUAUACAGUAGCUUAGUUGCUAGUGCUAAUAAGAAAAAAAUAGCAUGCAUUCAACAUCCCUGGGGAACUGAACUGCCACUAAUUCUAUAGGAAAAAGAGGGGGUCUUUCUGAAACAUGGAGGUCUGUGGAUUUUGAUUAUGCUCAUGGUUAGCUAGCAGUAGAAACAAAUAUGAGACAUGUGAGAUGGCCAUCCUGCGUGCUAUCCCAAAUGAUGUCUUUGUUACGAUGUUCUGAUCCCUCAAUGCCUGCAAAAUAAUAGCUGGAGAUUUGAGUGGCA